GUGCCAGCAGUCGCGGUAAUACGGAGGGUGCAAGCGUUACUCGGAAUCACUGGGCGUAAAGAGCGCGUAGGCGGGUUUGUAAGUUAGAAGUGAGAGCCCACAGCUCAACUGUGGAACUGCUUCUAAAACUGCAGACCUAGAAUUUGGGAGAGGUAAGUGGAAUUCCUGGUGUAGGGGUGAAAUCCGUAGAGAUCAGGAGGAAUACCGAAAGCGAAGGCGACUUACUGGAACAAUAUUGACGCUGAUGUGCGAAAGCGUGGGGAGCAAACAGGAUUAGAUACCCUGGUAGUCCACGCCCUAAACGAUGGACACUAGUCGUUGCUCAAAGAGCAGUGACGCAGCUAACGCGAUAAGUGUCCCGCCUGGGGAGUACGGUCGCAAGAUUAAAACUCAAAGGAAUUGGCGG
rnacentral:rRNA from 1 species